UCUUUCUCUCUCUCAAAAAUAAACAUUAAAAAAAAAGAAAAAAAAGUGGUGAAAAUAUGAUUUAAUAGACAGCUCCCCUAAUUAAAUUCCUUUUGUGAAAAGCAAUCAAAUAGGUGUUGAUGAGAUCCGCAUAUACUUUUGAAAAUGAUCAUAUAGUCGAUUUCAAAUAACUCACACACAAGAAAAAGCUCCAGUAAGUUUUUAGAACAAAGGUAAAAGCAGUUAAUAGAUUCUCUACUCUUACGUUUAGAAGAAUACUAUGAAUCAUGGGUAAUUUGAAAAAUGAGAUAUGUUAUGGCUUUUUAAGCAUAUUGUAACAAAUCUGCAUCACAAGGCCUCUGUGAGAAGGCUUUUUUAGAAAAAAAAGUACCAGGUGGGUUCUGCCGUUUUCCUGUUUUGAAAUAUGCAUGACUUGGAUUAUUUUAUAUUCACUUGCUUCUCUUGCCUUUUGAGAAAACUCAAAAAUACAUUUUUUUUUCAGUACUACCGGCAUUUUCUGAGAAAGCGCGUCUGGAAAUCCGGUGUCGUUUAUUUCACAGAAACCAAAUCAGACCAAACAACUACUCUCACGCCUAAAAUCUUCUUGAGAAGCGUCAUAGGAAACGCCCUGGUCAGCUGAAAACAGCCAAUCACCUAAUUUUUUAAAACUGGAGAGAAGAUGGUCUUCCUCCAAGUCAACAAUGACCGGCCU